rnacentral:rRNA from 1 species
CCAGACUCCUACGGGAGGCAGCAGUGAGGAAUAUUGGUCAAUGGCCGAGAGGCUGAACCAGCCAAGUCGCGUGAGGGAAGACGGCCCUACGGGUUGUAAACCUCUUUUGUCGGGGAGCAAAGCGAGUCACGUGUGACUCAUUGAGAGUACCCGAAGAAAAAGCAUCGGCUAACUCCGUGCCAGCAGCCGCGGUAAUACGGAGGAUGCGAGCGUUAUCCGGAUUUAUUGGGUUUAAAGGGUGCGUAGGCGGAGUGUCAAGUCAGCGGUAAAAUUUCGGGGCUCAACCCCGUCGUGCCGUUGAAACUGACGCCCUUGAGUGAGUGAGAAGUAAGCGGAAUGCGUGGUGUAGCGGUGAAAUGCAUAGAUAUCGCGCAGAACUCCGAUUGCGAAGGCAGCAUGCCGGCUCCACACUGACGCUGAGGCACGAAAGCGUGGGUAUCGAACAGGAUUAGAUACCCCUGUA